AUUAAAUAGUGUUAUAGUAAUUAUAGGGUAUUUAACAAGAAAAAUUAGUAAAAACAAGUAGUAAAUGGAUAAUUAGGAUGUUAUAUGGGUUAGACGUAAUGAAUACGAAAAAAAAGUUAAAGGGGAGAUAAGGCGGAGUAUCUAUAGAGAAAUACAAUAAAAAAUAUCUUAGGAAUUGAAACAUCUUAGUACUAAGAAAAUAGACCAAGCGAAAUUCUGUAAGUAGUGGCGAACGAAAAUAGAUAAGAGUAUAAUAGUUAUAUGUGAAUUCCAAAGAGGGUAACAGUCCCGUAAUAUAUAAAAAUUAUGGAAUACAAGAGUAGAAUUAUUUGAAGUAAGGUGUUCCACGCAUCUAAAGCUAAAUAAUAUAACAUACCAAAAGUGUACUAGUACUGUGAAGGAAAAUUGAAAGAGAAGAAGUAUUUUAAUGAAAUAGAUUUUGAAAUUUACUAUUUACAAGCAGAUGAAGUUCAUCGUACCUUUUGAAUAAUGGGUUCAUAAGAAAAUAUUUGGCAAACUUAAGUUAAUAAAAUGUAAGUAAAGUGAAAACAAAUUUUAAUGUAAGGGUGUUAGUCAAAUAGAGCCCGAAACCAAGUGAUCUAGUUAUGGGCAGUUUGAAACUUUCUUAAUAGGAAGUAGAGGAACGAACCGAUAAUUGUGGCAAAAAUUUCGGAUGACCUGUGAUUAGGGGUAAAAAGCCAAUCGAACUUGGAAAUAGCUGGUUUUCUGCGAAAAUUAUUUAAGUAGUGUGUCAUUAGGCCCUAUUGGGUGUUAUUUUUAUAUGGUAAAGCACUGAAGGGAUUCAUCUAUAGGGUGUGUUCAAUCAAACUAUGAAGGUAUAAAAAGAAAAAUGAUAGACAGACAGUGAGCGAGAAGGUUCAUUGUCAAGAGGGAAAAAACCCAGAUCAGAAGUUAAGGUCGUUAAGGAUUUGAGGCUAAGUGUUAAAGAGAGUUAUUUGAUAAAGACAGUAAAAAAGUAGGCUUGGAGCCAGCCAUCUUUGAAAGAUUACGUAAUAGUUCAUUUAACAAAUUAAUAAUUCUUAAGGAUUAUGGUGGCUUAAGUUAGUUAAAAAGUACCGAAACUCUGAAUAGAAAAUAAAGAUCUAAAUAGAAAAUUAUUGGUAGUGUGGUAGCAGAACGUUUAGUAAAAAUAGUUAAUAAUGUUGUAAAGUGUACCUAAAGUGAUAAUGUGAAUAUGAGUAAAAAACAGUGUGAGAAUCAUUGCUCACGGCCCAAGGUUUCCAAUAAGGGGUGUUCUGAAUUGGGUUAUACAGCUUUUAAGGGAUUGUAUUGAUAAAGAAAUAAUAGUAGAAAAAUUUAUAUAUUUAAUUAAACUGUACUAAAACUAACACAAGUGGGCUUAAAGUGAUGGUAGAAUUUAUCUUAAGGAACUCGGCAAAAUGGCCUUGUAAGUUCGCAAAAAAAGGUGCUAAUUGUUUAAUCAAUGGAUAUGGUAAAUAAUUAGUCUCAGUAAAGAGGGGGUGUCGACUGUUUACCAAAAACAUAGCUUCCAGCAAAGAACCUUUGGUUUGAAGUAUUGGAGGUGAGGCCUGCCCAAUGAUUGUAUCUCAACCCAAAGAAUAAAAGAAGUUGUUUGGUUAAGGGCAAUUGAAUGGCCGCGGUAAAUCUGACCGUGAUAAUGUAGCGCAAUCAAUAGCCAAUUAAUUGUUGGCAAGUAUGAAUGGCGUCACGAAUGCUCUACUGUCUCAAGAUAAAAACCAAUGAAAUUGAAGUCGUAGUGAAGAUGCUACGUUCAAAUUAUAAGACGAGAAGACCCCAUUGAGCUUUACUGGAUGCUUAUAUUGUAUUUUGAAAAUUAAUAAUUAGAUUAUGUGGGUAUAAUGAAACCAAUUAUAGGUUGGAAUAAUAUGGAAAACCAUUUAUUAAUUAAAAAAAAACUUAAUUAUAAAGAAAGUAUAAGGUGGACAGUUUAGUUGGGGCGACUGCCUUCUAAAAAGUAACGAAGGUGUACAUAAGGUAAAUAAUAUAAUAGUAUAAGGUAAGAUGCCUGACAGUAAGAAGGACUUUCAAGCUGACACAAAUAAAGUGAUAUUAUUUUGUGGGUUAUAAUGACCCGCUAGUUUAGAAUGGGAUUGCUAGCGAUUAACGAAUAAAAGUUACCAUGGGGAUAACAGCGUAAUAUUGUUUGAGAGUUCUUAUCGAUGACGAUGUUUGCGACCUCGAUGUUGAAUUGUGAUAUCCUGGAGGUGUAGCCGUUUCCAAGGGUUGGACUGUUCGUCCAUUAAAAUCAUACAUGAUUUGAGUUCAGACCGGCGUGAGCCAGGUCGGUUUCUAUCUAUAAUUUGUUUAGGAAGCAUAAGAUAUAACUAUAUUCUAGUACGAAAGGAUUGAAUAAUAGUUUUCCGCUGGUGUACCAAUUACAAAUAUGUUGUUGGGUAGCUAUGAUAAUAUUUAGUAAAUUUUUAAUCUUUGAAUGCAUCUCAAAAGAGAAAAAAAAUAUUAUUUUAUGUUUCUAAAGGUUUUCUUUAAGGAAAUUUAAGGUUGUUUUAGAAAAAAACAUUGAUAGGGUUUAAAUGAUGAGUUUAAAAUUACUAAAGGGGCCUUUAUACUAAUU
rnacentral:rRNA from 1 species